AUGAACGCUAGCUACAGGCUUAACACAUGCAAGUCGAGGGGCAGCAUGAACUUAGCUUGCUAAGUUUGAUGGCGACCGGCGCACGGGUGAGUAACACGUAUCCAACCUGCCGAUGACUCGGGGAUAGCCUUUCGAAAGAAAGAUUAAUACCCGAUGGCAUAGUUCUUCCGCAUGGUAGAACUAUUAAAGAAUUUCGGUCAUCGAUGGGGAUGCGUUCCAUUAGGUUGUUGGCGGGGUAACGGCCCACCAAGCCUUCGAUGGAUAGGGGUUCUGAGAGGAAGGUCCCCCACAUUGGAACUGAGACACGGUCCAAACUCCUACGGGAGGCAGCAGUGAGGAAUAUUGGUCAAUGGACGAGAGUCUGAACCAGCCAAGUAGCGUGAAGGAUGACUGCCCUAUGGGUUGUAAACUUCUUUUAUACGGGAAUAAAGUGAGGCACGUGUGCCUUUUUGUAUGUACCGUAUGAAUAAGGAUCGGCUAACUCCGUGCCAGCAGCCGCGGUAAUACGGAGGAUCCGAGCGUUAUCCGGAUUUAUUGGGUUUAAAGGGAGCGUAGGCGGACGCUUAAGUCAGUUGUGAAAGUUUGCGGCUCAACCGUAAAAUUGCAGUUGAUACUGGGUGUCUUGAGUACAGUAGAGGCAGGCGGAAUUCGUGGUGUAGCGGUGAAAUGCUUAGAUAUCACGAAGAACUCCGAUUGCGAAGGCAGCUUGCUGGACUGUAACUGACGCUGAUGCUCGAAAGUGUGGGUAUCAAACAGGAUUAGAUACCCUGGUAGUCCACACAGUAAACGAUGAAUACUCGCUGUUUGCGAUAUACAGUAAGCGGCCAAGCGAAAGCGUUAAGUAUUCCACCUGGGGAGUACGCCGGCAACGGUGAAACUCAAAGGAAUUGACGGGGGCCCGCACAAGCGGUGGAGCAUGUGGUUUAAUUCGAUGCAACGCGAAGAACCUUACCUGGUCUUGACAUCCCUAUGAAUAACGGGCAAUGCCGUUAGUACUUCGGUACAUAGGAGACAGGUGGUGCAUGGUUGUCGUCAGCUCGUGUCGUGAGAUGUUGGGUUAAGUCCCGCAACGAGCGCAACCCUUGCUAUUAGUUGCUACGCAAGAGCACUCUAAUAGGACUGCCGUUGACAAAACGGAGGAAGGUGGGGACGACGUCAAAUCAUCAUGCCCUUUAUGACUUGGGCUACACACGUACUACAAUGGCGUUAAACAAAGAGAAGCAAGACCGCGAGGUGGAGCAAAACUCAGAAACAACGUCCCAGUUCGGACUGCAGGCUGCAACUCGCCUGCACGAAGUCGGAAUUGCUAGUAAUCGUGGAUCAGCAUGCCACGGUGAAUACGUUCCCGGGCCUUGUACACACCGCCCGUCACACCAUGAGAGUUGGGAAUACCCGAAGCCUGUAAGCUAACGCAAGAGGCAGCAGUCGAAGGUAGAAUCAAUGAUUGGGGUG
rnacentral:rRNA from 1 species